GAUGAACGCUGGCGGCGUGCCUAAUACAUGCAAGUCGAGCGAACGGACGAGAAGCUUGCUUCCCUGAUGUUAGCGGCGGACGGGUGAGUAACACGUGGAUAACCUACCUAUAAGACUGGGAUAAAUUCGGGAAACCGGUGCUAAUACCGGAUAAUAUUUUGAACCGCAUGGUUAAAAAGUGAACGACGGUCUUGCUGUCACUUAUAGCUGGAUCCGCGCUGCAUUAGCUAGUUGGUAAGGUAACGGCUUACCAAGGCGACGAUGCGUAGCCGGCCUGAGAGGAUGAGAAGCAAAACGGGAACUGAGACACGGUCCAGAAUCCUACGGGAGGAAGAAGUGGGGAAUAUUGGACAAUGGGCGAAAGUCUGAUACAGCCAUACCGCGUGGGUGAAGAAGGACUUCGGGUUGUAAAGCCCUUUUGUUGGGAAAGAAAAGCAGCAGGUUAAUACCCCGCUGUUCUGACGGUACCCAAAGAAUAAGGACCGGCUAACUUCGUG
rnacentral:rRNA from 1 species